GACGAACGCUGGCGGCGUGCUUAACACAUGCAAGUCGAACGGAAAGGCCCUGCUUUUGUGGGGUGCUCGAGUGGCGAACGGGUGAGUAACACGUGAGUAACCUGCCCUUGACUUUGGGAUAACUUCAGGAAACUGGGGCUAAUACCGGAUAGGAGCUCCUGCUGCAUGGUGGGGGUUGGAAAGUUUCGGCGGUUGGGGAUGGACUCGCGGCUUAUCAGCUUGUUGGUGGGGUAGUGGCUUACCAAGGCUUUGACGGGUAGCCGGCCUGAGAGGGUGACCGGCCACAUUGGGACUGAGAUACGGCCCAGACUCCUACGGGAGGCAGCAGUGGGGAAUAUUGCACAAUGGGCGGGAGCCUGAUGCAGCAACGCCGCGUGCGAGAUGACGGCCUUCGGGUUGUAAACCGCUUUCGCCUGUGACGAAGCGUGAGUGACGGUAAUGGGUAAAGAAGCACCGGCUAACUACGUG
rnacentral:rRNA from 1 species